rnacentral:rRNA from 1 species
AACGCGAAGAACCUUACCUGGGCUCGAAAUGUACAGGAAUCCGGUGGAAACAUCGGCGCCCCGCAAGGGGCCUGUAUAUAGGUGCUGCAUGGCUGUCGUCAGCUCGUGUCGUGAGAUGUUGGGUUAAGUCCCGCAACGAGCGCAACCCUUAUUACCAGUUGCUACCAUUUAGUUGAGCACUCUGGUGAGACUGCCUCGGAUAACGGGGAGGAAGGCGGGGAUGACGUCAAGUCCUCAUGGCCUUUAUGUCCAGGGCUACACACGUGCUACAAUGGCCGGUACAAACCGUCGCAAACCCGUGAGGGGGAGCUAAUCGGAAAAAGCCGGCCUCAGUUCGGAUUGGAGUCUGCAACUCGACUCCAUGAAGCUGGAAUCGCUAGUAAUCGCAGAUCAGAACGCUGCGGUGAAUACGUUCCCGGGCCUUGUACACACCGAGUAUA